ACAGUACAAUUGAUAGUUCCGACAUUAUUAUUAUUAUUAUUAUUAGUGGUAGUAGUAGUAGUAGUAGUAGUGGUAGUAGUAGUAGUGGUAGUAGUGGUAGUAGUGGUAGUAGUAGUAGUGGUAGUAGUGGUAGUAGUAGUAGUGGUAGUAGUAGUAGUGGUAGUAGUGGUAGCAGUGGUAGUGGUAGUAGUGGUAGUAGUAGUGGUAGUAGUGGUAGUAGUAGUAGUGGUAGUAGUGGUAGUAGUAGUAGUGGUAGUAGUGGUAGUAGUAGUAGUGGUAGUGGUAGUAGUAGUGGUAGUAGUAGUGGUAGUGGUGGUAGUAGUAGUAGUGGUAGUAGUGGUAGUUGUGGUAGUGGUGGUAGUAGUAGUGGUAGUAGUAGUGGUAGUGGUAGUAGUAGUGGUAGUAGUGGUAGUGGUAGUAGUGGUAGUGGUAGUAGUAGUGGUAGUGGUAGUAGUAGUGGUGGUAGUAGUAGUGGUAGUGGUGGUAGUAGUGGUAGUGGUGGUAGUGGUGGUAGUGGUACUAGUGGUAGUGGUGGUGGUAGUAGUGGUAGUAGUGGUAGUGGAGGUAGUAGUGGUAGUAGUGGUAGUAGUGGUAGUAGUAGUAGUGGUGGUAGUGGUGGUAGUAGUGGUAGUAGUGGUAGUGGUAGUAGUAGUGGUAGUAGUAGUGGUAGUAGUGGUAGUAGUGGUAGUGGUAGUAGUGGUAGUAGUGGUGGUAGUGGUGGUAGUAGUGGUAGUAGUGGUAGUGGUGGUAGUGGUGGUAGUGGUACUAGUGGUAGUGGUGGUGGUAGUAGUGGUAGUAGUGGUAGUAGAAGUAGUGGUAGUGGUAGUAGUAGUGGUAGUAGUGGUAGUAGUGGUAGUGGUGGUAGUAGUAGUAGUAGUGGUAGUGGUAGUAGUAGUGGUAGUAGUGGUAGUAGUGGUAGUAGUAGUGGUAGUAGUAGUAGUAGUGGUGGAAGUGGUACUAGUGGUAGUGGUGGUGGUAGUAGUGGUAGUAGUGGUAGUAGUGGUAGUGGUGGUAGUAGUGGUAGUAGUGGUAGUGGUGGUAGUGGUGGUAGUAGUGGUAGUAGUGGUAGUAGUGGUAGUAGUAGUAGUAGUAGUGGUAGUACUAGUAGUGGUAGUGGUAGUAGUGGUAGUGGUG
rnacentral:lncRNA from 1 species